AUUGAACGCUGGCGGCAGGCCUAACACAUGCAAGUCGAGCGGAGCGGCGGACGGGCGAGUAAUGCCUAGGAAGCUGCCUGGUAGUUGGGGAUAACUACCGGAAACAGGCGCUAAUACAGCAUGCUAUCAGAUGAGCCUAGCCCGGAUUAGCUAGUUGGUGGGGUAAAGGCUUACCAAGGCGACGAUCGGUAGCUGGUCUGAGAGGAUGAUCAGUCACACUGGAACUGAGACACGGUCCAGACUCCUACGGGAGGCAGCAGUGGGGAAUAUUGGACAAUGGGCGCAAGCCUGAUCCAGCCAUGCCGCGUGUGUGAAGAAGGUCUUCGGGUUGUAAAGCACUUUAAGUUGGGAGGCGUUACCAACAGAAUAAGCACCGGCUAACUUCGUGCCAGCAGCCGCGGUAAUUC
rnacentral:rRNA from 1 species